AUGAAAAGAGAAACGGGCCGCCCUCGUUUCCCAUUCACCACUGCCCCGACACCACUCACCGGCGCCCUCCCCCACAGCCCCUCUCUCCUCCGCUCACCUUAUCCCCACCACCGGGCGAGCUCCUCUCCUCCCCCUCGCCCCAGAUCGAGCAGCAGGUCUGGAUCCAUGGCCACGGCAGCGCGAGCGCUCCCCGUCAGAUCGCUUUCGUUCCCGAGCAGAGGAGGAGGCAAUGUUGCAUGGCUAGCUCGGGUUAGUGCCGCCGCCGCCCCAUCCCGCUCCGCAUCGAUGGGUCUCGGGCAAGCCACCCCUUCAUACUCUCUCUGUCCUGUCGCCUCCCAUAGUUCUUCCUCAACCACGAUCGGGGCGGGAUGGACCUGCAUAUCCGUCAAGGCUAAUCAUACGCUCUCUUUUGUGCUAUAUUUGGCAAUCUUGUACUACUAUCUUGCAGUUGGAGUCAAGGACGUAUUUUGGUCAAUUGACUCGGGCUCUCUAAAAGGAUUUCAUAGUGAUUGCAAAGAAGCUUCAAAGCAGCUUAACUUCCACAUUUUCAUGCAUAUUCUUCUGCUGGGAGAGCAUGCGUUUAUUUUGCUCUUCCUACUUUUGUUAGAUAGGGUACAUUCUUUUUGUUCCAUUCAUGCCUCUGUUGCUGACGGUUCCUACAAUCUAAUACUAAUGGAAUUGGCCUUCAAAAUUGCAACCAAUAUUAGAGCUGGCGAACGAUUUGCAUUUUAUGUAUUCAUACCAAUGUGGCCUGAAGGAGUCCCUACCUCAGCCUCUGUGCAAGAAAUUCUUUUCUUUCAGGAUUUGGGGCUUGGGAAUAUUACACAAAGGAGGGGCAACAUUGUUUUUAAGGCGGUAAGGCGAGGCAAGGCGCUGGGGGGCGCCUCACCGCCUAAGCGAGCAGAGGAGGGUGGGGGAGAAGGGGGAGGGAGAGGUGUUGGCUCCUUGCUGUUGCCUGUUGCUGGUUGCUGUUGUACUGAAGAGGAGGAGGAUGAGCUACUGGAGAGGAGGAGGAUGAGGAGCUGCUGGAGAGGAUCUGCUGCAGAGGAGGGAGCAGAUCUGCUGGAGGAGAGGAGCCAGAGAAGGAGGAGGAGCCUGUUCAAAGUGGCAGGCAUAUUUGGGCGUGACGGGAUUCUCAUGCACUCAUCCGGCGAGAUCCUCCUGAUGAACAAGCGCGGCGUCUUCAUGAACAGCCUGCAAACGGGGGCAUGUUACUACCUGGUACUCAUAUCGAUCUAA
rnacentral:rRNA from 1 species